GUUUGGGUUUUUUUUUUUUUAGAGUGUGAGAGAGGAAGAAGAGUAAUUGGACUGAGAGAAAAUGGAUUUAAAUGCAAUUUGUGCUGAAUAAUUUCAGCAUAAUCCAACACACACAAGUUCUAGGUGUGAAUACCUACCCCAUAUAUGUGUGUACUAACAUGAUACUAAAUGUUGUUUUGUCUGUCUCUAACAACUAUUCAAAACAUCAUCACAAAUUUGUUACCCUCCCACCCCUCAGGGUUGUUGUCUACCCAGAUGUGGCUGCAUUGUCAGUAUCAAUUUACGAUAAUUUUUGAUCGAUUCAGAACAAGGCAGCGUAUAAGUGUAAAAUAUGUGUACAUCCAGUUCCCAAGUAAAUAUAUUCUGCACCCCAGCACUUCUGUGUUUCACGAACUCUUCCGAGCCAGGAAAAUCUUAAAGGGUAGUAAAAAACGCAAGUGCCAUAUUGCUCUUCUCGUAUAAGGUAAAUCCAAGAAUGACUGAAAACUUUUAUAAGGAUCCCAUUUUUCUAGCAAUCUCCCUUUCCAGGAGUGGUUCUCUACCUGUUCACAUGUUCAGCUACCCCCAAGCAAGGGAUGGGCUGUUCUUUCUUCCCUUUAUUAGGCUUCUUUAACUACCAUUAUCUUUUUAUCUUAGUUAGUUUUCCAGCUGGGUUUUUAACUUAGUUACUGGUUGGUAAAGGUUGGUCUUCAUAAGUUUGAAUAAUGGCAGAUUUUGACAACAUUAGGUAAAAAAAAAUUAGAUACCUGAAAGUACCACACAAUUCAUCCCUCUUGAGUCUGUUUUUUUAUGUAAUGUCUAGAUGAAAAUACUACCUUCUAAGUGUCCAUGCAUGCGGCUUGGUCCUUGGGACACGUGCCAAGACAAGAAUUUUAGAUGCCCAAGAUCAUGUGCUCAGCAGCUGUAAAUUGUGUUCAGGGAGAGUUCACCUCUUCUCCUUAACCCCGGAGGCAGUUUCUCUUCAUUAGCAAGGAAAGAUGGAGAAAAAGAUUAUCACCGUUGCCUGACUAUAUGCCAGUGUUAUAUAUCAUAAGAAGAAAAUCUGUUUGUAUGUUCACAAAUAUGUUUUCUCCUAAUCUGUCUUCAGGAAAAAGUCUUUGGGAGGAGCAAGAGGUAAUAAUGGCAGGAGACUUGAAAUGAAGUGACAGAAACAGAAGCAGAAUUUCUCUACAGAGAUUUUUUCAAGCAGGACCUGCAGUAGGUCCUCCCAUUAUAAAAUAACAGUACCUAGUCAUGGCCAUGAUUAAAUAAUUAAAAGUAUUCCCAUCUCUGGCUGCUGGUGUCUGGUAUCAUUCAGAAAUACAACUGUAGUACAUCACACGAGAUGUACUCAGCCAGUUUGCUGGCUGAGCCAGGUUGUAUUGCUGGUGUUGAGUCAUUUUCCCCCUCCCCUGCAACAGAUUAAAACGUCCUUGGUGUUUGUGUGCACAUGUGUAUCUGAAAAGAGAAAGUGGCUCAUUUUUGUAUUAAAACUAAUGUGUUACUAUCAUGAUUGUGUCUCAUUGUUUGCUGUUAUAUAAAGAUAACACAUCAGGGCUGAAUCACAGAAACAAAUGCAAAAAAUUGCAGUCUUAAAAGAAUAAGGUGACAGGUCACAUUCAUUGUUGUAGAACAAAUGCAAUAAUUAAUUGCCCUCUCCCUGCAGCACAAGCAACUACUAGAGAGCUAGGCAGUGAAAAGGAGCCAUGUGGAGUAUCCAUAUUCUUCUAGGGCAAACAGCUGAGGUAGAUUAUAUUCAGAAAAUAGAACACAAAAAGCUUUUUGGAAUUUGUGCUGUAUUUUUUUUUUUCUCUCAGACAGUGACAGGCCAGAAUCAGCCCAUGUGAAAAUACACUUUUUAUCCAGCCACAGCAGCUGAACUUGGGAUGUUUGAGUCUACAGGUGACCCUAAGCUACAGCAUCUUCCUCAGAGAUACACAGCAGAGUCAACAGCAGACCUGGAGUUCCAUGGCUCGGCUCUGCAGCAGCAAAGCCCAUGGGAAGGCACUGUGUCAAGCCUUAGGCAGAAGCAU